GAGACACCCUUAUGGGACAGGGCUUGCUGCUUCAGUGGGGCUUUGGUGCUCACUGAGUCUUCCCCUUGAGUGUGUUUCU
rnacentral:pre_miRNA from 1 species